GCUGUUGGGGGGGGCUUGCAUUGUCCGCCUCUGAGGCAGGGGCGGCCUGUGGAGGUUCCUUGACCUCAGUGGCCCCAGGCUGACCCCCUGCCAGAGGAGAGGAGCCUGACUGCCAAGAAUGCAGUGGAAUCCCGCUGAGGCUGGAGCCCAGGGCCCGAGAAAAUGCGCGGAAUGCCGUUUGUAGAGACACACUAGCCUUUGCAUAGAAAAGCUCUUUGGACUUCAACAAAGCUCCACGUUUUGUGACAAUUCCAGCCAAUCAGAGGCUCACCGAGUCCUGUCCCUCACCAGUCACCAUCCACUGCCCAAAGGGCAGCAGACUUCCCACAUGCCCGUGACCUGUACCAUGCCGGGACUUCUCUUCACUGACCUCCCUCAGCAGAGGCAGCUCUCCCCAAGGCCGCCCGCCUGCAACCAUGCAGGCCUCUCUCAGCAAACCUGUCCCUCCAGGGGCAGCUCUUCCUGCCCUGCUGUCUAUGCAAGUGUCUUUUUACUCUUCUGUCCCUUUCCCUAAUAAA